GUUUAAAAUGACAGGAAGACAGUGUUUUACAUUGUUGAAAGAUAAAGAAAAAGAAUCGGUUCUAGAACGUGCCGUCCUGUGUUUGUUUUCGACAGUUGAGGGGAGAGUCCGGUGCAUGCCAGAUACUAUCUAUUGAUUUCAAACACUCUAGUGAGAAAUAUAUGCAGAAGAAAGAACCAAGUAUGAUAAAUCCACGACAGACCUGGCACAAGCAUAUAGCAUGACACCACUACAGCCUCCAUGACAAAAGCAUAGUUAAACAAAUUAGACAUAAGCUAACAUGUAUAUAAUUAUACCCCAACAUACAAAGUAUAUUGGGCUAUGUUGGAGUCACGCAUGUCCAGUCCAUCCGUCCGUCCGUUCAUUUGUCCACCAUGGCUGCUGGGAUGAUUUUCAUAAAACUGACAUAAAUUAUAAACCACAUGAAGACAACGUACAGAGCGCUCAACCUAGGUCACAAGGCCCAAGGUCAAGGUUACUCGUGGAGGUCAAAGGUCAAAUACCUUAGCUUCAUGUCCGCUCUAUAUUGUCUAAACGGCUUUGAAAAUAUUAAGCUUGACUGUUUGAUGAAUAAGGAGGAUUACUGUACUUGCCUUGGCGUCUGUGUCACUGUCAUCGUGGUAUUGAAAGUUAAAAUUUUAGGACAAGCUUCUCAAUGUCACUAUAUAUCUUCUUACUAAUGCCCUAUUAACAUCAAACUUCACAUAAGUGUUGGUCUUGGUAAGAGAAAGACAUCUACAUGUAUUAGUUUAGGAACAAAUAUCCUAAAUGUCGAAGUCACUGUCUUAAAUAUUGUGAUAGUGCUGGUUAAAGUUUCAUGAUAAGCUUCUCAAUUUCACAACAUAACCUCACAUAAGGACUGAUCUUAGAACGUGGCAGAAAUCUUUUUGUUUAGGGUCACGUUGCUCAAAGGUCAAGGUUACUGGGGUCAGAUUUUGUAACAGUGUUAGUUAAAGUCUUGUGGCACAUUUCUCAAUUUGACUUAUAUCUCAUAACAUUUCCUGGAACUGAUAUCCCUCAUGUCCUAUCCUUUUUAGCUAUACCCACACUUCAUCUACAUUCCUCCCGACACCCAUCCAAAAAUGCGUUCCAUACAAAACUUAUAUUUCAUGUUUCCAUCAACUCCCCUACUCCACUGUCUUCACCUACCACCUCCACCCCAUUUCACCGAACCUUUACCCUCGCCCCUAACCCCCGUACCCUCCAUAAAAAGGAAAAAAAACUCCUUUUCGAUCUCCCACACUUACUUAUAAUAAUAACAAUAUCUUGUUAAACAUUUUUCUUAUAGUCGAGCAGACACAGUUAACUCAGAUCACUAGGUCCAAGGUCAAGGUCACACCUAAAAAUCAUGUCAUGAUGACAACAUUUUUCUUUCCCUUUAUCAAAGUGAGGUCUGGGGGUAUUAAUCGAUUUCAGUGAUGACCUUAGUUGAUCAGGUGUAAGUGGCAUAAAUGUGUAACAUUUGCUUUAUUUGGGGUGGGGGUAUAGGAAUGGUCUCCGUCCGUCCGUCGGCCCGUCCGGAACACUUUGUGUCCGGUCCAUAUCUCCUAAACCACUUGAAGGAUUUUCAUGAAACUUGGGUCAAAUGAUCACAUCAAGACGAUGUGCAGAAGGUAUGAGUUUGCCAUGUCGGCUCAAGGUCAAGGUCACAACUCAAGGUCAAAGGUUUUAGCCUUCCAUUUUGUGUCUAUUCUAUAUCUCCUAAACCUCUUGAAGGAAUUUAUAAAACUCGGGUCAAAUGAUCGCCUCAGCAAGAGGAUGUGCAGAACUUAUGAGUCAGCCAUGCUGGCUCAAGGUCAAGGUCACUUAGGGUUAAAGGUUUGAGCCUUCCAUUCUGUGUCCGCUUUGUAUCUCCUAAACCCCUUGAAAGAUUUUCAUGAAACUUGGGUCAAAUUAUCACUUCAUCAAGACGAUGUGUAGAACUUAUGAGUCAGCCAUGUUGGCUCAAGGUCAAGGCCACAACUUUGGAUCAAAGGUGUAACAGGUGUGAGCCUUCCAUUUUGUGUCCGCUCUGUAUCUCCUAAACCCCUUGAAGGAUUUUCAUGAAACCUGGGUCAAAUGAUCACCUCAUCAAGAUGAUGUGCAGAACCUAUGAGUUAGCCGGCUCAAGAUCAAGUUCAUAAAGGUUUGAGUCUUCCAUUUUGUGUCCACUCUGUAUCUCCUAAACUCCUUGAAGGAUUUUCAUUAAACUUGGGCCAGAUGAUUACCACAUCAAGAACUCAUGAUUCAGCUAUGUCAACUCAAGGUCAAGGUCACAACUCAAGGUCAAAGGUUUGAGCUCUCUAUCUCCUAAACCCCUUGAAGGAUUUUCAUGAAACUGGUCAAAUGAUCAACUCAUCAAGAUAAUGUGCAGAAUUCAUAAAUCAGUCGUGUCAGCUCAAGGUUAAGGUCACAGCUCAAGGUCAAAGGUUCAAGUUACCCUUUCACUAUCCAUAUCGGUGGCGGGGGUUUUAGCUGUCUUUCAGACUGCCAUGUAAUAAUUGAUUUUAGGAUGGGAGAUAUUUGUUUGUUUCAGUGUAAGAUCGAUCAAAUCAUUCUAAAUACAUCUCGUGAAAAUAAAAACUAGUGUUAAAGCGUGAAAAAUAAUUGAUUUUACUAUAAAUCAAAGAAAUUUUAUAUUAUGCAAUUAAAUAUAUGUGUACUAUUAAUCAAAGAAAUUCUAUAUUAUGCAGUUAAAUGUAUGUGUAUUGUAAAUCAAAGAAAUUUUAUAUUACGCAAUUAAAUAUAUGUGUACUAUAAAUCAAAGAAAUUUUAUAUUAUGCAAUUAAAUAUAUGUGUACUAUAAAUCAAAGAAAUUUUAUAUUAUGCAAUUAAAUAUUUGUGUACUAAAUUGUACACAUUUUACAAGUAUAACAUCUCACCCAACGCGCAACGUUAUAAUUCAUAUUCUUUUGCGUUAAAUUGAUGUUGCAUGCAAGUGAAAACUGUAUUUGGAUUUCUUACUUCUGAAACAGUGGGUUUAUCAGGGUAUAACCUGUCGUUUUAUUUCAACAAUAUCUGAAAGCGUGGCAAGAAAUUCAAUAAAACUAUAAAAUGUAGCGAUAAAAUCAUAGCUCUUUUAUUUAUUCAAACACACUUUCUACUGCACUUUGUCUGGUUGGUAUUAAGUAAUUUUAGCCUCAUUUCUUGUUCACUGAAAUUUACACUGUUUGGUAUAACUCAUAAUCGACACCUAACUUUAUGCACUAACAUUAACUCGUGGGGCUAAAAUGACUUUUAAAGCAAUUGUCUAUUAUCAGUAGAUCUAACAAUGUGUUAAACUGGUAAAUCUUUAAGAAUGAUGGGUAGAAAGAUUAGCUAAUCAAAUAUUUAGUAGACUUGUUGGCAAACUUUUAGGUUUUUAGUCCUCGCUUUAAAUAAUUACUGGAAUAUAACGUUCGAUUAUAACAUGAUGAACUCAUUGUUUCAAACGGAGAGAAAUCCAAAUAUGAUUUUUCACUAGCACGGAACAACACUUGAACGCAAAAGGAUAUGAAUUGUAUGUAAGGACUGGAAAUUUGCUUCAAAUAGAAAAAAGAUGUAUAAUACUGCUUACAAAAACACUAAAAUAAUACACGCCAAACUAUUGAAAUCUAAAAGAAACAUGUAUAUCGCGUAGAUAUAUUUAACUUAUUUCCAAGAGCAUAGUGACGUAAUGAAAUAUAGCGUGACGUUAUGCAUGGCGCAGGUCUCAGCGCAGUUGAAUAAGAUAACAUGAGAUAAAUUUAUUUUAACUCUGCGAGAUAAUAAAGCGGUACAAAAUAAGCGAUUAGUUUUACAUUAGUUAAAAAUUAAGAAUAAAAAUGAACGUGCAUUACAUAGAUCUAUAUACAUAUAUAAAUCUGGUAUAAUAAUAAUAAUAAUAAUAAUAAUAAUAAUAAAAAUAAUUAUGAUGAUGAUGAUGAUGAUAAUAAUAGAUAAGUUUUUCAAUUAAUUAAACAUUAAGAAUAAAAAUGAACAUGCAAUACAUAUAUACAUAUAUAAAUCUGGUAUAAUAAUAAUAAUAAUAAUAAUGAUAAUAUCAAUAAUAAUAAUAAUAAUAAUGAAUCAACUUUCUCGUAAUGCCGAAUUAUGUUUCACUCGGGAACACCAGUUUUCAGUUUAUUCGGUGAAAGAAACUUCGAUCUUAUACGGAAACCAACACAUGCCCCAUUUCUAUAUAUUUUUACAGCAGUAGUAGGUAACAAACGUCCUUAUUUUGAGGAGAUACGGCUUAAAAGUAAGGUUACACAACCUAGGACUGAAAUCAUUUUAACUGUUGUUAGAUAUUUUUUGUUUUAUGUUCCCAAGAUAAUCCCGUGAAGAAAUUUAACUUCACAUUAUUAUUCCUCAAGACCAGAUGACAUGUUGAACACAUCACCUAUGCCUGAUGGUCAAAGGCCAAAGGUCACAAUACAAGGUCAAAGGUUAGAUAUUUGGUUUUUGAUCCAUACCUUCUGUGCCUAGAAUGGUUUUAUUACUUAAUGGAUUUGAUUCAAACUUAAAAUAGUUGUUCAACAUCAUCACCCAUAUGAUAUGACACAAGGUCCAUAACUCUUGCACCAAUAUUUCAUAACUUAUCCCCCCCCCCACAUUUUUACUUAGAAUUUAAGGUUAAAGUUUUUAUACAUUUUCACUCUCAGUUAUUACUAAAUGGAUUUGAUUCAAACUUAAAAUAGAUGUUCCACCUUAUCAACUACAUUAUGUGACACAAGGUGUUUAACUCUGACACCAAUUUUUCAUGAAUUAUGUCCCCUUUUACUUAGAAUUUAAGGUAAAUUUUGAUGCAUUUCCACUAUAUUUUAUAAUAGUUAUAACUAAGUGGAUUUGAUUCAAACUUAAAAUAGAUGUUCCACCUUACCAAACACAUCAUGUGACACAAGGCGCAUAGCUCUGACACAAAUUUUUCAUGAAUAAUGUCCCCUUUUACUUAGGAUUUAAGGUUAAUUUUGAUGCAUUUUCACUAUAUCUCAUAUAUAUAACUUCUGUGCCUGAAAGGGUUUUAUUACUUAAUGGAUUUGAUUCAAACUUAAAAUAGUCAUUCCACAUCAUCACCCACAUUAUAUGACACAAGGUGCAUAACUCUUGCACCAAUAUUUCCUGAAUUAUGCCCCCUUUUUGGUAAAAUGUUUACUUAUUUCAUGUUUUGAUACACUUUAUCUGCACCUCUCUUAUGAUUUGAUAUUUUUUAACACAGACUCAAGCUAUUGUGCAACAUUUAUCCACCAUUGGAGUCAUUAAACACUACAGUGACAGUUCUUGACAGAUUUAAAUGUUUUUGGUACACAGGUGUAACAUCAUAAAAUACAAUUUUGAUGCAUUUUCACUAUAUCUCAGUUAUUACGAAAUGCAUUUGAUUCAAACUUGAAGUAGUUGUUCCAUAUCAUCACCUACAUCAUAUGACACAAGCUGCAUAACUCUUGCACCAAUAUUUCCUGAAUUAUGCCCCCUUUUUGGUUAGAAUUAUACUUACAUAGUGUUUUCAUUCACUUUAUCUGUACCUGUCUUAUAAUUUGAUAUUUUUCAACACAGACUCUGGCUAUUGUGCAGUUUACAUCCACCAUUAGAGUCAAAUCAAACACUUCAGUGACAGUUCUUGACAGAUAUAAAUGUUUUUUUGUACACAGGUGUAACAUCAUAAAAUACAGGUCAAGUUCGAUUUAAAUGUCACCUUCUUGUGGCCAUGUCUUUCUUAUGAUUGCCAUUCUUCUGUGACAAGACCGUAUUGUGGGGGUAUUCGUCACUACUGUGACAGUUCUAGUUUUGCUUGCUGGUUGUUUCUUAAUGACAGUCAAAACUUUAUAUAUAUUCUUUCGAUUACAUUUUUUUCUGACGGAGUUUUACAUUUUUAGUGAAAGCAUAGUUCAAAACAAUGAUUUUAUUGUACAUGUAUUAAAUUUUUAAAAUAUUCUUCAGAUUGAAUAUUUUCAUUAUGAUUAUACUUUACAAUGUCAUUUGUGACUACGUGUGCUAUUUAUUGCAGCUUGAGAAAUGAAUAAAAUACCAUACAGUU